rnacentral:lncRNA from 1 species
UACAGAUUCAUGUUGACUCUGUAAACCAAAUUGGUAACUCCGCAUCCAUGUGAACGACGAAAGACGGUUGUUUUCUAGCACUGCGUGCUAAGCUAUCCGCCCGUAGAUUUUCCGUCCGGGGUACAUGAACGAUGUCUGAGUUGAGGAAACUUCUUUUUAAAAGCUUAAUGUCUUCCAUGUAACUUCCAAAUGCUGGCAAUUCUUUUGGUUCCGAAACCAUCUUCACUAAUUGAGAACAAUCCGUUGCAAACGUAACCUGAAACUGUCUUAAAUUCUUCAUACAUUCAAUUGCUCAAAUUAAUGUCUCCACCUCCGAAUGUAGAGGUGAACGACAUGCCCUUAUAUUCCUUGCCCAUAGUAAACCGUCAAAACCCGGUAAAGUGAUAUACCAGCCUUGCCCUUAAAAUAAGUCUUUGUCUUUCCAUGAACCAUCUAUGAAGUACCAUCGUCCUCAAGUCGGUAUUGUGGGUCUAUUCUGUGUCUGCUCCCUCGUUUGAUCCUUUACUACUUGUGCCUCAGCCCAAAGUGUUGAUUCUAAUUCUGUUGUUUUCAGUGUGUCCCUUGG